GAUGAACGCUGGCGGCGUGCCUAAUACAUGCAAGUCGAGCGAACGGACGAGAAGCUUGCUUCUCUGAUGUUAGCGGCGGACGGGUGAGUAACACGUGGAUAACCUACCUAUAAGACUGGGAUAACUUCGGGAAACCGGAGCUAAUACCGGAUAAUAUUUUGAACCGCAUGGUUCAAAAGUGAAAGACGGUCUUGCCGUCACUUAUAGAUGGAUCCGCGCUGCAUUAGCUAGUUGGUAAGGUAACGGCUUACCAAGGCAACGAUGCAUAGCCGACCUGAGAGGGUGAUCGGCCACACUGGAACUGAGACACGGUCCAGACUCCUACGGGAGGCAGCAGUAGGGAAUCUUCCGCAAUGGGCGAAAGCCUGACGGAGCAACGCCGCGUGAGUGAUGAAGGUCUUCGGAUCGUAAAACUCUGUUAUUAGGGAAGAACAUAUGUGUAAGUAACUGUGCACAUCUUGACGGUACCUAAUCAGAAAGCCACGGCUAACUACGUGCCAGCAGCCGCGGUAAUACGUAGGUGGCAAGCGUUAUCCGGAAUUAUUGGGCGUAAAGCGCGCGUAGGCGGUUUUUUAAGUCUGAUGUGAAAGCCCACGGCUCAACCGUGGAGGGUCAUUGGAAACUGGAAAACUUGAGUGCAGAAGAGGAAAGUGGAAUUCCAUGUGUAGCGGUGAAAUGCGCAGAGAUAUGGAGGAACACCAGUGGCGAAGGCGACUUUCUGGUCUGUAACUGACGCUGAUGUGCGAAAGCGUGGGGAUCAAACAGGAUUAGAUACCCUGGUAGUCCACGCCGUAAACGAUGAGUGCUAAGUGUUAGGGGGUUUCCGCCCCUUAGUGCUGCAGCUAACGCAUUAAGCACUCCGCCUGGGGAGUACGACCGCAAGGUUGAAACUCAAAGGAAUUGACGGGGACCCGCACAAGCGGUGGAGCAUGUGGUUUAAUUCGAAGCAACGCGAAGAACCUUACCAAAUCUUGACAUCCUUUGACAACUCUAGAGAUAGAGCUUUCCCCUUCGGGGGACAAAGUGACAGGUGGUGCAUGGUUGUCGCCAGCUCGUGUCGUGAGAUGUUGGGUUAAGUCCCGCAACGAGCGCAACCCUUAAGCUUAGUUGCCAUCAUUAAGUUGGGCACUCUAAGUUGACUGCCGGUGACAAACCGGAGGAAGGUGGGGAUGACGUCAAAUCAUCAUGCCCCUUAUGAUUUGGGCUACACACGUGCUACAAUGGACAAUACAAAGGGCAGCGAAACCGUGAGGUCAAGCAAAUCCCAUAAAGUUGUUCUCAGUUCGGAUUGUAGUCUGCAACUCGACUACAUGAAGCUGGAAUCGCUAGUAAUCGUAGAUCAGCAUGCUACGGUGAAUACGUUCCCGGGUCU
rnacentral:rRNA from 1 species